UCUUUUAAUUGAAGGCUCGUAUGAAUGGUUGGCGAAAUAUUAACUGUCUCAAAUAAAAUUAUUUAAAACUUUAUUUUUUAGUCAAAAAGCUAAAAUUUAAUUAAAAGACGAGAAGACCCUAUAGAUCUUUAUAAUUAAAUUAUUAAAUUUAUAAAGAAUAUUUAAAAUUUUAUAAUUAAAAUUAUUUUAUUGGGGUGAUAAUAAAAUUUAAUAAACUUUUAAAAAUUAAAAACAUAAAUUAAUGAAUAAUUGAUCCAUUUUUAAUGAUUAAUAAAUUAAGUUACCUUAGGGAUAACAGCGUAAUUUUUUUGGAGAGUUCUUAUCGAUAAAAAAGAUUGC
rnacentral:rRNA from 1 species